rnacentral:rRNA from 1 species
CAACUUUCAGCAACGGAUCUCUUGGCUCUCGCAUCGAUGAAGAACGCAGCGAAAUGCGAUAAGUAAUGUGAAUUGCAGAAUUCAGUGAAUCAUCGAAUCUUUGAACGCACCUUGCGCCCUUUGGCAUUCCGAAGGGCAUGCCUGUUUGAGUAUCAU